UGAAAGCAAACAUUUGACAUUACAGAGAUUCUCGCAGUUAUACAAAAGCUGUUGUUUACUCGAGGAAUUUACGAGGACCAUAAAUAAUGUUGACGUCUGUCUGUUUAGGACUGUCGGAAAUAAUUUCGAAAAAAAACAGACUCUAACUUUCAGCUGGAAUAUCACCAGACAAAACAUAGUAUUUACCGGCUGGCUGGUGUUAAUUCCAUUUUUGUGUCUGCAUUUAUAUCAUAUGCUGUAAUAUACAUAAAUGUAUUAAAGUCCUGAGUUUCUUCGCAGUAAGAGACCUAUUCCUAAUAGAGUAGUGGAUGGCCGUAUCAUCGGCGAAGAGAGCUAAGUAAAUGGACGGUAGCCGAGGGAUGUCGUUAAUGUAUAUAUUUAAUAUUAGCGAGGCGAAUAUGGAACCUUGCUGGACUUCAUCCGUUAGAGGUCGCGGGGAGGAGCGGGUUCAUUCGACUGGAUAUCGAAGCUCGACAAGAAGUUCCUGGACCAUGUUCCACAGUUUAAAGGUCAAACAGUUGUGCCAAAGGAGGGCUUCCGUGUAGAGGGGCUUAGGUCGGUAAACGCAUUUUUUUAGUUACCUAACAAAAUUUGUAAAAGUUUGCUAGGAAUAAACUAGAUAUGUUAAGGCACUCGUGCUUUUCAAUUGCACACUCUUCCCUUAAACAGCAAAAUAAGGCCUUUUUAGCACGUGCCUAAUCUCGAGUCUACGACCCCACAAAUAGCACUGAUGUUUCCUCUGAGACACGUUGCCAUUAAUUAUUUAGCAGUCUAAUUAGGUUUUGCCAGUUUUCAGAGAUCCCUCGGGCAAAUUUAAACGGGUUUUAAUUAGUUUUCAAAUUCGAAAAAUUCCUUGUGAUUUCUACGCCUUGUAAUUUUAAUAUGCCUUUGAAAACACCGUGGAGUGCUUUACAUUUUUCUCUUAGACUAAAGGUGUUUAUGUGUUCUGGCCUUUGUUAUGGAAAUACUUGCGAUACAAAGGAAAUAUGUACGAUGUUAGUAUCCAAUAAGAAGGUGACGUAAAAGGCGGAGAGUAUCUCCAUGAUUUAUUUAUUUCGAAUGAGACUGUUUUUGGAAAUGAUGUGCAAAAUUAUACACACUAUUAUUUAAUGGGUUCUUACUUUCACAAUUCGUGAUGGCGCUUGUAACAGUGCAGAAAUAUCGGUACUCAUGAAAUGUGAACAUAGCGAAAGUGUAAAUAGUUUAAUCAUUAACAUAAUAAAAUAUUUCUGAUUCAAAA